rnacentral:lncRNA from 1 species
CCAGCAUUUCUGAUUACUUUUAUUUCUAACAAAUAAGGAGUAAAUAACUUAUUUUAAAUUGACUUAUAAUAACUGUGAGCAUUUGUAUGAUAGCCAAAGCCCAUAACUGUAACUUUUUAAAAGUCCUACAAAAGAGGAAUUAUAUUUUGCUUACGGUCACUCAUGUACCUACCUCCUCUGUGUUCUUCUUGGUCUCUGCACUGUGUGAAAAUCCUUUCUGAUUUUGCUUUCCCGUUGAAGCUGCGAGACAUCAAUAAUACAAAGCUAUCUGGGAGUUUUACGGAAUAGUAUUCAAAUAUAUUGAUCAUGUUUCUUUCUGUGUCUAUGUAAUUAGAUUUUCUCCAGAUAUUUGUCAUUUUAAAAGCAUAUGUGUCACAAGAUACCGGUAAACAUCUAAGAAAUGUCAUUUUAUUCAGGGCAGAGAAAAUUAGGAGUCAGAUACGUCUAUAUUUCUCUGCACAGUAAGAGAAAUGGAGAAGUGUAAUAAAAAAGGGUUUAAUGAAAAUGAAGAAGAGAAAGAUAAACUCGGGUUUGAAUUGUGAAGCACCAUUGGGAGGGAUCUCCAUAUGCAGCUAAGCAGAGGGCACAGAGGCAGUCCCAAGAACAGAACCUUUUUGAAGCAUUUUAUAGGAAAUAUAUUGUCACACAGUCAUUAUGGCUGAUGAUGAAAAGACACUAGAGGAAGUGUGAGAGCCAGACUGUGAGACAUUUAGGGACAGAAACAGAAGGGGGGCGCCUGUUUACCUCCUUCAACCCUCACUGUCUAAAUGCUUCUGCCCCUGCUCCCCUUCUGCAAUUUGUGAUUUCCUUGGUGUCUGAGCCUGGCUGUGCAAGCACUGCCAUUUUCAUAUCCGUUCUUUGUCUCUGCUUUGACACAUACUUCCAAAAUGAGAUGAUUAUUUAGAUCUCCUGUCAUGAUGAGGCAACAAUAGUAGGAAGUGUCCCCUUGAACUUGACCCUUUGAAACAUGUUCAACAUAUGCUAUGCAUAGUAAGCUUUGGAAAGCUUUAGUCCCCUGAUGUCACAAUUGCUUCAGGGUAAGGCUUUUAUCUUCAUUAUUAUUUAAGCAGACUUAGAUGCGUCUUCCUCCCUAUGUUCUAGUGUAAACACACACGCACACCCCUUGCAUUAUUUAUGUCCGUUGAGAAGAGAAAGAUGGCUGACCUGGUGGGGAGUAGCAGAGGGUGCCUUAACAUUUUCAGGCUUGGCUCCCACUUCCUUAUGUAUUUCCUUCAUGUCCCUGUCACUUCAGAGGUGUAACCGUGUCUGUUCCAAGUUGUAUCUUUAUCAUCAGCAAGAACGCUUAUAAAUGUAGUGAAUGUGACUAUUUUGUAUAAAUGCACAAUAGUAUAUAGGCCUUGGAGACGUCUGAUAACAGUAUGUAAAUAUCCUUUGUUGAAGGAGUAGAACCUUCUCAUAGCGAGCUGCUUACGUGACAGCUACAGGAGGAUGCAUAGAUUUAACAUGUUGAUUUCUCUAGCAAAUUCUAGCAUUCACGAAUGCAAGGAAACAAUUUGUUUCUGUUUCUCAUUUAUUCUUAAGCACCAAUCCUUUGGGCUUUCUUGUUGAUGGGUUACUAUAGACAUCCCUUUCAUAACGUACAGGAUUCAUAAUUUGUGACGAUUGGAUGGCCACUGGGGUACAUCAGGAUCAGAGACUCUAGAGGGAAGGAGAGAGAAGGAUAGCUCCAUUGAAAAGCUUGCCUAAUUUUUGAAAAGUCUGAGACAUUUCUAGAACUCUAGUUGCCAUAUAGCAUGGUUGGUCUGAAAAGCUUCGAAAAAGAAAGUUUCUCUUUGAUCUCUUUAACUUGAUCAUUGCACAUUAUAUCUUAUUCCACAGGUGCACAAGCUGUUUUUCAAAAGCAAAUUUGCAGAGACUGGAGAUAGAGUGAAAAUUAUUUCUUUCGUCUACAAGAGUCAUGUUUUCCAGGCAUGAAUUCAAAAAUCAGCCUCAGUGUUUGGAAACUUUUUCAUGAUGAUGA